AAUAGAUACCCUGGUAGUCCACCCCGUAAACGUUGGGAACUAGUUGUGGGGUCCUUUCCACGGAUUCCGUGACGCAGCUAACGCAUUAAGUUCCCCGCCUGGGGAGUACGGCCGCAAGGCUAAAACUCAAAGGAAUUGACGGGGACCCGCACAAGCGGCGGAGCAUGCGGAUUAAUUCGAUGCAACGCGAAGAACCUUACCAAGGCUUGACAUACACCGGAAACGGCCAGAGAUGGUCGCCCCGCAAGGUCGGUGUACAGGUGGUGCAUGGUUGUCGUCAGCUCGUGUCGUGAGAUGUUGGGUUAAGUCCCGCAACGAGCGCAACCCUCGUUCUAUGUUGCCAGCACGUAAUGGUGGGAACUCAUGGGAUACUGCCGGGGUCAACUCGGAGGAAGGUGGGGAUGACGUCAAAUCAUCAUGCCCCUUAUGUCUUGGGCUUCACACAUGCUACAAUGGCCGGUACAAAGGGCUGCAAUACCGUGAGGUGGAGCGAAUCCCAAAAAGCCGGUCCCAGUUCGGAUUGAGGUCUGCAACUCGACCUCA
rnacentral:rRNA from 1 species